GCCGAUGUAGCUCAAUUGGUAGAGCAACUGACUUGUAAUCAGUAGGUUGGGGGUUCAAGUCCUCUCGUCGGCA
rfam:Firmicutes bacterium MLFW-2 MLFW-2_Contig_4_85X, whole genome shotgun sequence.